rnacentral:rRNA from 1 species
AUUAGAUACCCUGGUAGUCCACACAGUAAACGAUGAAUACUCGCUGUCUGUUAUAUACAGUAAGCGGCCAAGCGAAAGCAUUAAGUAUUCCACCUGGGGAGUACGCCGGCAACGGUGAAACUCAAAGGAAUUGACGGGGGCCCGCACAAGCGGAGGAACAUGUGGUUUAAUUCGAUGAUACGCGAGGAACCUUACCCGGGCUUAAAUUGCAUUUGAAUAUAUUGGAAACAGUAUAGCCGUAAGGCAAAUGUGAAGGUGCUGCAUGGUUGUCGUCAGUUCGUGCCGUGAGGUGUCGGCUUAAGUGCCAUAACGAGCGCAACCCCCAUCGACAGUUGCUAACAGGUAAAGCUGAGGACUCUGUCGAGACUGCCGGCGCAAGCGGUGAGGAAGGCGGGGAUGACGUCAAAUCAGCACGGCCCUUACGUCCGGGGCGACACACGUGUUACAAUGGUCGGUACAGCGGGAAGCCAGGCGGCGACGCCGA